GAUGAAGAACGCAGCGAAAUGCGAUAAGUAAUGUGAAUUGCAGAAUUCAGUGAAUCAUCGAAUCUUUGAACGCACAUUGCGCCCGCCAGUAUUCUGGCGGGCAUGCCUGUCCGAGCGUCAUUUCAACCCUCGAACCCCUCCGGGGGGUCGGCGUUGGGGAUCGGCCCUUUACGGGGCCGGCCCCGAAAUACAGUGGCGGUCUCGCCGCAGCCUCUCCUGCGCAGUAGUUUGCACACUCGCAUCGGGAGCGCGGCGCGUCCAAUGCCGUAAAACACCCAACUUUCUGAAAUGUUGACCUCGGAUCAGGUAGGAGUACCCGCUGAACUUAAGCAUAUCAAUAAGCGGAGGA
rnacentral:misc_RNA from 1 species